GACGAACGCUGGCGGCGUGCUUAACACAUGCAAGUCGAACGGAAAGGCCCUGCUUUUGUGGGGUGCUCGAGUGGCGAACGGGGGAGUAACACGUGAGUAACCUGCCCUUGACUUUGGGAUAACUUCAGGGAACUGGGGCUAAUACCGGAUAGGAGCUCCUGCUGCAUGGGGUGGGUUGGUGAGUUUCGGCGGUUGGGGAUGGACUCGCGGCUUAUCAGCUUGUUGGUGGGGUAGUGGCUUACCAAGGCUUUGACGGGUAGCCGGCCUGAGAGGGUGAACGGCCACAAUGGGACUGAGAUACGGCGCAGACUGCUACGGGAGGCAGCAGUGGGGAAUAUUGCACAGUGGGCGGAAGCCUGAUGCAGCAACGCCGCGUGCGGGAUACCGGCCUUCGGGUUGUAAACCGCUUUCGCCUGUGACGAAGCGUGAGUGACGGUAAUGGGUAAAGAAGCACCGGCUAACUACGUG
rnacentral:rRNA from 1 species